rnacentral:rRNA from 1 species
CAGUAGCCGCGGUAAUACGAAGGGGGCUAGCGUUGUUCGGAUUUACUGGGCGUAAAGGGCGCGUAGGCGGGCGAUUAAGUCAGAGGUGAAAUCCCAAGGCUCAACCUUGGAACUGCCUUUGAUACUGGUUGUCUUGAGUCCGGGAGAGGUGAGUGGAACUGCGAGUGUAGAGGUGAAAUUCGUAGAUAUUCGCAAGAACACCAGUGGCGAAGGCGGCUCACUGGCCCGGAACUGACGCUGAGGUGCGAAAGCGUGGGGAGCAAACAGGAUUAGAUACCCCUGUAGUCCCUGUCUCUUAUAC